UUAUACAAUGGAGAGUUUGAUCCUGGCUCAGGAUGAACGCUAGCUACAGGCUUAACACAUGCAAGUCGCGGGGUAACAUCUGGGAGAGCUUGCUCUUC
rnacentral:rRNA from 1 species